GCGGAGGGAUCAUUACCGAGUUAUACAACUCAUCAACCCUGUGAACAUACCUAAACGUUGCUUCGGCGGGAACAGACGGCCCCGUAACACGGGCCGCCCCCGCCAGAGGACCCCCUAACUCUGUUUCUAUUAUGUUUCUUCUGAGUAAAACAAGCAAAUAAAUUAAAACUUUCAACAACGGAUCUCUUGGCUCUGGCAUCGAUGAAGAACGCAGCGAAAUGCGAUAAGUAAUGUGAAUUGCAGAAUUCAGUGAAUCAUCGAAUCUUUGAACGCACAUUGCGCCCGCCAGUAUUCUGGCGGGCAUGCCUGUUCGAGCGUCAUUACAACCCUCAGGCCCCCGGGCCUGGCGUUGGGGAUCGGCGAGGCGCCCCCUGCGGGCACACGCCGUCCCCCAAAUACAGUGGCGGUCCCGCCGCAGCUUCCAUUGCGUAGUAGCUAACACCUCGCAACUGGAGAGCGGCGCGGCCACGCCGUAAAACACCCAACUUCUGAAUGUUGACCUCGGAUCAGGUAGGAAUACCCGCUG
rnacentral:rRNA from 1 species